GUAGCUCAGUGAUAGAGCACUUGCCUUGCAUGCAUGAAGCCCUGGGUUCGAUUCCUCAGC
rnacentral:tRNA from 1 species